rnacentral:tRNA from 1 species
CUCAGAGAAAAAGUACUUAACUUCACCCUCAGCACCCAAAGCUGAAAUUCUAAUUUAAACUAUUCUCUG